GAUGAACGCUGGCGGCGUGCCUAAUACAUGCAAGUCGAGCGGAAGGGCGCGGAGCUUGCUUCUCUGAUGUUAGCGGCGGACGGGAGAGUAACACGUGGAUAACCUACCUAUAAGAGUGAGAUAACCUCGGGAAAGCGGAGAUAACAGCGGAGGAUAUUUUGAACCGCAUGGGUGAAAAGUGAAAGACGGUCUUUCUGGCACUUAUCGAUGGAUCCGCGCUGCUUUAGCUAGUUGGGAAGGUAACGGCUUACCAAGGCAACUAUGCAUAGGCGACCUCAUAGGCUGGUCGGCCGCCUUGGAGCUGGGCCGCGCUCCUUAGUCCUACGGGAGGCCCCAGUAGGGUACGUUCCGCAGUAGGCGAAAGCCUGACGGAGUAACGCCGCGUGAGUUAUGGAGGUCUUCGGAUCGUAAUACUCUGUUAUUAGGGAAGAACAUCUUUGUAAGUAACUGUACAGAGCUUGACGGUACCUAAUCAGAAAGCCACGGCUAACUACGUG
rnacentral:rRNA from 1 species